CGUUUUCUUUGCAACACGCCAUUUAUCCUCUUCAAUGCUAUGGUACUGGAUGAGAGUAUUUUUAAGUUUAGUUGCAAAAGCAGCAGCAUCUGGCAGGCCUUCCAUUUUUUUAUUUUUUCCCUGAGCUGAAACGAGGAGUGCGGGGCGCCCGGCGGGGAAGCGUCCGACCAGGAACCGACUCCCCACUCUCCGAUACACUGACGCGUUCAGCGCUCUCGGCUUCCCCGCCCAUCGGGGCCCCGGGCGAUGGCAGCCAAUGGGCGUCCAGCCCCUGCAGUUCUCUGCCAAUGAGGAGGCACCGAGCUGCCGGGAGGCGGGCAGAACCUCUAGCCACACCCACAGCUCGAACCUGGUGUCCCGGUUCGAGGGCUAGUAGCAGAAGUUGGCCCGAGCAACGUGUGUUGGCUUGGAUUGGCCGGCAUGGCGGCGUGCGGGGUGCUGAUUGGC